rnacentral:snoRNA from 1 species
GAUCAUACUUUUAGGGAUCAUUUCUAUAGUAUGCAUC